ACUAAUUCCUUUUCAAAAAGUAAAUUAAAAAUUAUAUUGUUUGUAUAAAUUAUUGAGUCCAGCUCCAAAUCCGCGUCUCCUUCUCGUUCUUCCUUUUUUGCGUUUUCUCUCUCCAAUUAUUACGUCUUAUUCAGCCGCUCUUCUCCGAUCGGUGAAAGAAAUAUUAUGGCUAUGGAGGUUACGCAGGUGCUUCUGAAUGCACAAUCAAUAGAUGGAGCUGUGCGAAAAAAUGCAGAAGAUAGCUUGAAACAGUUUCAGGAGCAAAACCUUCCUGUUUUUUUGGUCUCGCUUUCUGGGGAGUUGGCAAACGAGGAGAAGCCUGUUGAAACACGUAAAUUAGCGGGUUUGGUACUUAAGAAUGCAUUGGAUGCCAAGGAACAACACAGGAAGUUUGAGCUUGUUCAAAGAUGGUUGUCAUUGGAUGGCAAUGCAAAAAGCCAGAUUAAGGCAUGCUUGCUGACGACUUUGACAUCUCCGGUAUCGGAUGCUCGUUCAACUGCAUCUCAAGUCAUUGCAAAGGUUGCUGGCAUUGAGUUGCCACAUAAACAGUGGCCUGAGUUAAUAGGUUCACUUUUAUCAAAUGUUCAUCAGCUACCAGCUCAAGCUAAGCAAGCCACUUUGGAGACGCUUGGAUAUUUGUGUGAGGAGGUGUCCCCUGAUGUUAUCGAUCAAGAUCAAGUAAAUAAAAUUCUUACAGCUGUAGUUCAAGGCAUGAGUUCAUCGGAGGGAAACACUGAUGUGAGGCUUGCUGCAACCAGAGCACUUUACAAUGCAUUGGGCUUUGCGCAAGCAAAUUUCAGCAAUGACAUGGAGCGUGAUUAUAUCAUGAGAGUUGUCUGUGAGGCAACGCUGUCCCCAGAAGUGAGGAUAAGACAAGCUGCUUUCGAAUGUUUGGUAUCCAUUUCAUCAACUUAUUAUGAAAAAUUAGCUCCAUAUAUUCAAGAUAUUUUCAACAUUACAGCAAAGGCUGUGAGGGAAGAUGAGGAACCUGUUGCUCUUCAAGCCAUUGAGUUUUGGAGCUCAAUAUGUGAUGAGGAGAUAGAUAUUUUGGAAGAAUAUGGAGGUGAUUUCACUGGUGACUCAGAUAUUCCUUGCUUUUAUUUUAUCAAGCAGGCGCUCCCUGCCCUCGUUCCUAUGCUGUUGGAGACACUAUUGAAGCAGGAGGAGGAUCAGGAUCAGGAUGAAGGGGCUUGGAAUAUUGCAAUGGCUGGUGGAACAUGUCUUGGUUUGGUUGCACGGACUGUUGGAGAUGAUAUAGUACCUCUUGUUGUGCCAUUUAUUGAGGAAAAUAUUUCAAAACCGGAUUGGAGGCAGCGGGAGGCAGCAACUUAUGCCUUUGGUUCAAUCUUGGAGGGCCCUUCUCCAGAAAAGUUAAUACCCCUUGUGAAUGUUGCCCUUACUUUUAUGCUCAGUGCUUUGACAAAGGACCCCAAUAGCCAUGUCAAAGACACAACAGCCUGGACCCUGGGACGUAUCUUUGAAUUUCUUCAUGGUUCAGUUGUUGAUUCUCCCAUCAUCAGUCAAGCAAAUUGCCAACAGAUUAUUACAGUUCUGCUACAGAGCAUGAAGGACACUCCAAAUGUUGCUGAGAAGGCCUGUGGUGCUCUCUAUUUUCUUGCUCAAGGUUAUGAGGAGAUGGGUCCAUCAUCUCCUUUAACUCCCUUUUUCCAGGAAAUUGUCCAGUCCCUUCUCACUGUCACUCACAGAGAAGAUGCCGGUGAAUCUCGGCUGAGGACUGCUGCUUAUGAGACACUGAAUGAAGUGGUGAGGUGUUCAACUGAUGAGACUGCUCCAUUGGUGUUGCAAUUGGUUCCUGUCAUCAUGAUGGAGCUUCACAACACCCUUGAGGGCCAGAAACUCUCAUCCGAUGAAAGGGAAAAGCAGAGUGAAUUGCAAGGCCUUCUUUGUGGGUGUUUGCAAGUCAUUAUUCAAAAGCUUGGUGCAUCAGAACCAACGAAAUAUGUGUUCAUGCAGUAUGCAGAUCAGAUUAUGGGACUUUUCCUUCGGGUUUUUGCUUGUAGGAGUGCUACCGUACAUGAGGAGGCCAUGCUUGCUAUUGGAGCUCUUGCUUAUUCAACAGGAGCAGACUUUGCAAAAUACAUGCCGGAGUUUUAUAGGUAUUUGGAAAUGGGUCUUCAGAAUUUUGAAGAGUACCAGGUCUGCGCUGUGACAGUCGGUGUUGUGGGUGAUAUUUCCAGGGCACUGGAGGAAAAAAUUGUGCCUUACUGUGAUGGUAUUAUGACACAACUUCUCAAGAAUUUGUCGAGCAACCAGUUGCAUCGCUCUGUGAAGCCUCCCAUAUUUUCAUGCUUUGGUGACAUUGCAUUGGCAGUGGGAGAGUAUUUUGAAAAGUAUCUAAUGUGGGCCAUGUCUGCACUUCAGAGCGCUGCAGAGUUGUCUACCCAUAUAGCAGGUGAUGAUGAAUUGGUAGAGUACACAAACUCCCUUAGAAACGGAAUCCUGGAGGCAUAUUCCGGGAUUUUUCAAGGGUUUAAGAACUCUCCCAAAACCCAGCUGUUGAUUCCUUAUGCACCUCACAUCCUCCAGUUUUUGGAUGGCAUAUACAUGGAGAAAGACAUGGAUGAUGUGGUGAUGAAGACUGCCAUUGGAGUCCUUGGUGAUCUAGCUGAUACAUUAGGAAGUCAUGCUGGUUCUAUGAUACAGCAAUCUGUCUCGAGCAAAGACUUUUUGAAUGAAUGCUUGUCUUCAGAAGACCUUAUGAUUAAAGAAUCUGCUGAAUGGGCCAAGUUGGCCAUUAGUCGUGCCAUUUCUGUUUGAGGGUGUUGCCAUUCAGCAUGUUUAUUUCUUUUCGAAGUCCAUGCAUUUGGGAAUGUCUAGGGUCUUGGGUUGCAUGUGUCGUGUCAUCACCAUUGUCAGACAACAGAAGUUACCAGUCUUUAUGUUGUCACUAACAUUUGCAUCAGCAUCAUGGGGUCAGAUUCCAUUUUUUUUAAUCAUGAACGAACUGGAUACAGACAAUUUCAGAGAAGUCAACGAACGCCUGCAUAAAGAGAAUAUCUUUUGGUCUUGAAUGAGCGGAGUAGGGGGAGGGAAUCAUGAAUUUGGACAUGCAUAAGGAGUGGAGUCAGGUAGCUCGAUCACACUUACAUGUCAACACGAGCAUCAGUUUUGCCUUUAUCGUGGUUUUCUCCCAGUAAAUCUAGUUUGAUGGAAUGGAUGAUCAAUCAUCUGGUUCAAACAACGCUGCAGCACUUUAAAGAAAUCUCAACUGCUGCAAAUCAACCAUUGUCAGUCCUUAUUCCAUCACCUAUCACUCCUUAUUUUUGAAGCUCAAAUCUGCAUAUUUAUGAACCAUGGCAGCAGCUCCUUGGUUCAAGACUUUUCUUCUGGUGUCGUUGCUCCUCCUCAUGCCUUUCUCUCAUGGCAUGGUUGAAGAAGGGCUUCAUGGUGGCAUGAAGCAAGCUGCAGAUUACUCAGUUAAACAGGGUGGGAAGGAGAUGAUGAUGAUCCAAAUGAGGACAGUGAGGAAGCUGAUGAUGCUGGGUGGAAUGCAAGAUUAUGAUGAUACUGGCGCUAACCAAAAGCACGAGCACGACCCUAGGAAGAAACCUGGCAAGCCUUGAUAUUUAUAACAUAUAUGUAUUAUUAUAUGAAAUAAUCAAAUCAACUAAUUACUACUCUAUAUACUUGCGAAAUAAGUAGAAAUAAUUGUAUUACUCCUUUUCAAGAGGUUGGGACUAUCUUAUCUGAGUAAUAAUUAGAAAGGCAUGAUAUAUAAAUUAUUUAUGGUGAUAUUAAAUAGUUGUUUUUUAGGGACUACUCAUUUGUGGGUAAUGGGUAAUUGAGAUGUAAUAUAGUUCAGUAAUAAUUAAAUAUGUUGUUAAACUCUCUAGUAAUGUUGAAAUUUAUGUUUGUAUAA